rnacentral:snRNA from 1 species
AGCUUUGUGCAGUGGCAGUAUUAUAGCCAAUGAGGUUAAUCUGAGGUGUGAUUAUUGCUGAUUGGAAUAAAAA